rnacentral:rRNA from 1 species
GAUGAACGCUAGCUACAGGCUUAACACAUGCAAGUCGAGGGGAAACGACAUCGAAAGCUUGCUUUCGAUGGGCGUCGACCGGCGCACGGGUGAGUAACGCGUAUCCAACCUGCCCACCACUUGGGGAUAACCUUGCGAAAGUAAGACUAAUACCCGAUGAUAUCUCUAGAAGACAUCUGAAAGGGAUUAAAGAUUUAUCGGUGAUGGAUGGGGAUGCGUCUGAUUAGCUUGUUGGCGGGGUAACGGCCCACCAAGGCAACGAUCAGUAGGGGGUUCUGAGAGGAAGGUCCCCCACAUUGGAACUGAGACACGGGUCCAAACUCCUACGGGAGGCAGCAGUGAGGAAUAUUGGUCAAUGGGCGAGAGCCUGAACCAGCCAAGUAGCGUGCAGGACGACGGCCCUAUGGGUUGUAAACUGCUUUAUAGGGAUAAGUGAGUCUCGUGAGACUUUUUGCAUGUACCUUAUGAAUAAGGACCGGCUAAUUCCGUGU